GACAGAGGGUGCAAACGUUGCUCGGAAUCACUGGGCGUAAAGGGCGUGUAGGCGGGACAGUAAGUCGGGCGUGAAAUCCCUGGGCUCAACCCAGGAACUGCACUCGAAACUACUAUUCUUGAGUGUCGGAGAGGAAAGCGGAAUUCCUGGUGUAGAGGUGAAAUUCGUAGAUAUCAGGAGGAACACCGAUGGCGAAGGCAGCUUUCUGGUCUAAGACUGACGCUGAGGUGCGAAAGCGUGGGGAGCGAACGGG
rnacentral:rRNA from 1 species